UUCCAGCUCCAAUAGCGUAUAUUUUUGUUGUUGCAGUUAAAAAGCUCGUAGUUGAAUUUCUGGUGGGAGGAUGUGGUGCAACGUAGUUGCUACUGGCAGCCUCCGGCCAUCCUUGGGUUUAGCCAUUCUGGCAUUAAGUUGUCGGGGUGGGGAUGCCCAUCGUUUACUGUGAAAAAUUAGAGUGUUCAAAGCAGACUUAUGUCGUUGAAUAUAUUAGCAUGGAAUAAUAAGAUAGGGACUACAGUGCUAUUUUGUUGGUUUGCGCACCGUGGUAAUGAUGAAUAGGGACAGUUGUGGGUAUUCGUAUUCACUUGUAAGAGGUGAAAUUUCUUAGAUUAAGGGAAGACGAACAAAAGCGAAAGCAUUUUACCAAGGAUGUUUUCAUUAAUCAAGAACGAAAGUGUGGGGAUCGAAGAUGAUUAGAUACCGUCGUAGUCUACACCAUAAACUAUGCCGACUCAGGAUGGGCGAGUGUCUUCUGACCUCGUCUGCACUGUAUGU
rnacentral:rRNA from 1 species